rnacentral:rRNA from 1 species
UACGGAGGAUGCGAGCGUUAUCCGGAUUUAUUGGGUUUAAAGGGUGCGUAGGCGGCCUGCCAAGUCAGCGGUAAAAUUGCGGGGCUCAACCCCGUACAGCCGUUGAAACUGCCGGGCUCGAGUGGACGAGAAGUAUGCGGAAUGCGUGGUGUAGCGGUGAAAUGCAUAGAUAUCACGCAGAACCCCGAUUGCGAAGGCAGCAUACCGGCGCCCGACUGACGCUGAGGCACGAAAGUGCGGGGAUCAAACAGG